AAAAGAAAAAUGACGUGGAUAAGGUGAGAGAUGGAUUUCAAGGGGUCAGAAAAAAGGAAACAACACAGACCAAACACCAAAGGAUGGAAAGUAAGAUGACGCUGGGUAGCACUUGCAGACGUAAUCACAACAUGCGCCUUACCUUAUCUCACGCGCAUGAAUGAUAAAACAAAGAAUGAGAUCUAUCCGUCCCUCUGCAUGCAUCUUUCUUUCUCUCUUAAUCUCCACUAUUUGUCAGUAUUUAUGCUUUUUUAAAAAUAAAAACGAUCAGAGCGUCCAAUCUCUCUUAUCGUUUCUUCAAAAGUUUCUAAUUAUUUCAUUCUCAGUUUUCUCUCUUAAAUCUCAUAGACAAUCUUCUUUUGCAUCUCUCUCCCUCUCUCUGCAAUGAAGGUACAUCCCUCUCUCUCGACGCAUAUGGGCAAGAUUUGAUUCAUAGGAUUCGAAUAUCUAUGAGAGAAUAAUGAGUUUAGAUUCCUUGUUUCAUCUUGAAAUCUUAAAGUAACAAAGCUUUUCUCUGUUAUUCGCUAUUUACUGUAUAAAUAUAUAUUCCUUUUUUGCUUUACUUGAUUCCUUCUUCUUUCUCGCCGCACAUAUGUGUGUAUCAUUUUUACAUGUGAUCUGCUUCUUCUGGAGAUUAUAAAAGAACUACCUCCAAAUUACCACUAAUCUUAUUAUUUUAUCCUUGGUUAUCUGUCUAGUUUGCUAAGUUGCUAUUAAUUACAGAAAAAUAAAUCAAAUAAAAUCCAUAAUAAAAUGAAUGAUGAGCAUGCUCUGCUUUUGCAAAAGUCUGGUUCUCUAUUAUGUUCACACACAUACACAUGCAUGUCCCUAUGUGUGUGUAUGCACACCACUCAUCACUAGUUUUUUUUUCUUCAUACAUAUUCUUUAAAACUUCAAAUCUCAUGUUUGUUCCUUUUUGACUCUGUGUUGUUCUUGGUGAUUCAAUGCUUUUUAGUUACAGCAUGAUUUAAAUAAAAGAAGACUACUUAAUCUUUAUGCCCUCAAGGCUUUAGCUAUUUAUUUCACUGACUCCCACACAAAUUGUUUUGUCUUUUUGUGACAAUUUUCAGAAAAUUGUGUUAAAGUUGGAUCUGCAUGAUGAUAAGGCAAAACACAAGGCCCUUAAAACAGUUUCUACUCUCCCAGGUAAUCAAUCCAUCUUCACCAAUCAUUUUUUCUCAGAAAAUAAAUUCUUAAGGGUACACAUUACGGUUCUCUAUAUAAUUCUCACUUCCAUGUAACUAGACCAACUAAUUAACCAUGGAUUUCCGGUCCACUUGUUCCGGUUUGUUUCUGAUUUGCUUGGUGGGGGCACACACGUAGAUAAACAAGAGAAAAAUGUUUAAAAUUUUAUUUUCAUCAAUCACGAGCUGUUCUGACAGUGGUGUCUCUCUUUUGGAACAGUGAUGGUACGGUAAAAAGUUGCACGAUAUUUCAAUUAUUGUUUAUUUGUGAAAUUCAUUGUUUGUUUUCUUAGGAAUCAAAUCAUAUCUAGGGCCACUAUAGCUUCUUUGAAAUACGUGCCCAUCAAACUAGAUUAAAAAGAUGAAGUCAAAGAUUUUUCUGUAUGUUUAAUAACAGUGUUUUACUUUCCUUAUUGUUAUUUUGUCAAAAAUGCGGUUACUUAUAUAUUAAUAGGAAAAAACUUACGUGUCUAUAAGAGGAAGAAUUACAACUUUGAAUUUCUUGUUUUUAUUUUCAUAGGAAUCGAUUCGAUUGCAAUGGAUAUGAAGGAGAAGAAACUAACCGUGAUCGGAACCGUGGAUCCAAUAAAUGUAGUAAGUAAGCUAAGAAAGUAUUGGCCGAUGACUGAUAUCAUACUAGUUUGACGUGGAUAAGGUGAGAGAUGGAUUUCAAGGGGUCAGAAAAAAGGAAACAACACAGACCAAACACCAAAGGAUGGAAAGUAAGAUGACGCUGGGUAGCACUUGCAGACGUAAUCACAACAUGCGCCUUACCUUAUCUCACGCGCAUGAAUGAUAAAACAAAGAAUGAGAUCUAUCCGUCCCUCUGCAUGCAUCUUUCUUUCUCUCUUAAUCUCCACUAUUUGUCAGUAUUUAUGCUUUUUUAAAAAUAAAAAC
rnacentral:lncRNA from 1 species